UAGGGAAUCUUCCACAAUGGACGCAAGUCUGAUGGAGCAACGGCCGCGUGAGUGAAGAAGGUUUUCGGACCGUAAAGCUCUGUUGUUGGUGAAGAAGGAUAGAGGUAGUAACUGGCCUUUAUUUGACGGUAAUCAACCAGAAAGUCACGGCUAACUACGUGCCAGCAGCCGCGGUAAUACGUAGGUGGCAAGCGUUGUCCGGAUUUAUUGGGCGUAAAGCGAGCGCAGGCGGAAGAAUAAGUCUGAUGUGAAAGCCCUCGGCUUAACCGAGGAAUUGCAUCGGAAACUGUUUUUCUUGAGUGCAGAAGAGGAGAGUAGAACUCCAUGUGUAGCGGUGGAAUGCGUAGAUAUAUGGAAGAAUACCAGUGGCGAAGGCGGCUCUCUGGUCUGCAACUGACGCUGAGGCUCGAAAGCAUGGGUAGCGAACAGGAUUAGAUACCCUGGUAGUCCAUGCCGUAAACGAUGAGUGCUAAGUGUUGGGAGGCUUCCGCCUCUCAGUGCUGCAGCUAACGCAUUAAGCACUCCGCCUGGGGGAGUACGACCGCAAGGUUGAAACUC
rnacentral:rRNA from 1 species